AUUAAUUAAUCGAAACGAUGUUUUAACCACAUUGAUUUGUAGUUUUAACAUACUUCAAUCGUGAAAAAAAAAUGAACAGUGUAAUUAAACUUCUUUUGAAGAUUUUUUCGUUUUUAUCAUUAUUGACAUGAAUAUAGAUAACAAUUUAGUUUUCAUGAUAACUUUAUGGGCCAGUUAAUUUUUUCUUUAUGAUAUUAUCUUAAUAAUUUUUACCAAGUUUGUGAUUUGUGAAUUUGAUCUUGAAUAGUUAAUGUACCUAAUUAGUAACUAGUAACGUAUUAAUGUUUGAAAAUUGUAUUUUUUAAACUGAUCACUGCUUAUUAUCAUAUCAUUAUAAUCUAUUUGCAAUUUAUAAUUAAUGUUAAAUGUGUGUGUAUCCAAAUAAAAUUUAACAAUUAUACAUUUACAAAACAAACAAUGGCUAUAGACAACUUAAAGCAUUUUAUUUUGCGUAACAAAGAAGUUAUAAUGUUUUUAGUAGGUUUUGGUGCUAUCCACUAUGGUUGGUACAGUUUACAUCAUAACAGUACAUUGAAUAAGGCAUUAACAGCAGCCCGUGAUAAAGAGACACUUAAGGUAACUUAAGUAUUUUGUUAUGCAAUUUACUAAAUUUAUAUUAUGAUAUAUUAAAUUUAAUGAAAACCAUAAUGAAAAACAACACACACGUAUAGUUGGUGUACAAUCUUAACUAUUAAGUACCUAUUGUGUGUAUUUCUUAUUUUUGUUUGCAUCCAAUUUACUCUAGUUGAUAUUUUCUGAAUUCUGCUUAUUUUUCUUUUAAAAUGCCUUAAGAAAACUCUAUAUUUCCUAAAUGUUUAGAAACCAUAAUUUAUAUUAUAUUAAAUUUAUGUAUAUUUAUAAAUAAUCUAUAUUAAAUCUAGAUCACUUAUCUAGACUUUUGCUAAUAUUUAUAUACAUUUUAAAUGACUAAAAAGGAAUAAUCUUAGUAGGUUUUUUGAACAAGAAAUAUUUUUAUAGAAAAUACAUGAGUGGCAAUUGAAAAUAUUAAAUUUAUUAGACUAACUUAUCAAUGACAUAUGUGUGUUGUAUGAUAGAAUUAUAAUUUAAAUUAAGUGAUUAUUUUCCUAACUUAUAGAUUCUUAGUUAUUAUUAUUUUUAAUUAUUUUAUAUGUAGUGUUUCUAUAAUAUAUUUAUCUUUUUUUUCAUUAUUUUUAGGAGUAUAAACGGUUGGAAAAAGAGAUAAAUGAUUUAUCUGAUCAACAGAAUUACAAUAAAAACUGAAAUUCGAUCCCAGUGUAAUUUUAAAUGUUGUAGCAACCUUUACUAAUAAACCUACUGAUACUGAUGAAUUAGUUAUAAUUGUAUUCACUUUAACUAUUAUAGUUAUAAAAAUAAAACAAUGUGUAAAAUAUAAUAUCAAAUUUGUUUAUUGAUUGUUACUAAUUAUUUAAUAAUAAAGACUAAAUAUAUAUUUACAAUAUUAUGAUUUAAAAAAUGAAAAAAAAAUAUUUUAAAGUAUGUAGUUCAUAACAAACAUGUAGGUAUGUGUUUGAUAAGUAAUUAGUUUUAUAAUUAUACUUUAGGUAAUAUAGAAUAUAUCUAAAUUUUUGUAAAAUUAGAUUAACAUUUGAUAUCAUUAAAUAGCUUUUUUAAUUUAAUUAAUUUUAGUGUUGAAAUGAAAUGUAAAAAUGGGGGCAAAUUAUUUAUAUUUUUAGUAAAUUAAUUAUAAAUUGUGUAUUAAAUUAUUAUAAAAUAUAUAAAUAAAAACUGUAGUCCAUUGACGGGGUGGAUGGGAAGAACGUGCCCUGUGCACUGGAUCCGCCACUGGAUUUAUAGAAAAAUAAUAAAUCAUAGUCCUAGACACUGGCAUAAAUAUCAAAAAAGAAAAUUAUUUUUUUGUUAUAUGUAUGUAUUAUAUUUAUACGUGGUGUUAUAUAAAAUGUCCAUCAUAUUAUACUGAGAAAUAUAGAUUUUAUAAGUAAUAUUAAAUUAAUGAUUUAUUAAUAACAAAAAACCCCCUCUGUACUCAACUAGUUGUUUGAAUAUCACUUAUCAUAAAUAUGACAUAUGCAUAUUAAUCAUUUACAUUUUGCAUUACUGUUAUACCAUAAUUGAUAAGAUCUACUCUUUACCAAAUGGUUUAUUAUUGUACAAUUUACUAUUUAGUCAGUUAUUAUGAAAAAAUUUAACACAAAUAUGUUGUUAAAAAAGAGAGUUCAAACAUUAAAUACAUAUUUAAUAAAAUUGAAAUAUCAUAAAUAGUUAUUCAUUAGCAAUGAAAUUAAAUUAUGAAUUAUAAACAAAAUUACUGUGCAUCUUACCUUUUUUAUUUUAACUGAAGGUUUUUUUAAGAAUAAGAUAUAUUUUAGACAAUAGAAUUUAAUCACUUCAAAAUUUUAAACUCCAAGCCAUACAAAUUAAGCAUAAUUCUGAGAAUCCUUUUCGUCCCAGUGAAGUAAGUAACUGUUAAAAUACAAUUGUAAUUUGCAAAGAAACAUUUGUGAAAGUUAAUGAUAUGCCAUAAAUACAAAUUUCAGUCAGAGAAAUAGUAUGAAAAUGGCCCAAUUUGAGAGUAGUUAUGUAAGAUUAAUACCAGUAACUGAUUUGAGGGUAGUGCAAGGGAAUUCUAUACCAGUUCUAAUUUUUCAGAAACUUUAGAGUUUUUCUACUAUUUAUUUUAAGUGUAAUUCAUGGAACAGAAUAUAUUUUUGCAUUUUUAUUAAAACAGACCACGUCUAUAAAAGCCAAAUUUCAAGUCUCUAUGAAUAUUUUUAACUGAAUAAUAACAAAAUAUAAAAUAAUAAAUAGUUAACUUUAAUUGAUUAUAACUAAUAAUAUCCUAUUAGGCCACAUAUAUUUCUACAACUAUAUAAACUAAUACCUAAAUGACUGAAUAAUAAAGUUUAUUAAAUAAAUAAGUUAUAAUUUUAUUAUCAACAAAAUUAAUAUACCGUGAAAUUAUGUAAAUUAUUUUUAUACUUACAUUAUUUCUGCUAAGAAAAUUUCAAUUUUAGUUCAAAUUGUUUUUUUUUUUUUUUGGAAUUUAUUACUUAUACAUUUUCUAAGGAAAAAAAUUGUUAUCCCUCAUUUUUCACAACUUCCAACACAUUUUAUUUGUUAUUGUUCACAUGUUAUUCAAAUAGUAGGACAAAUUUAGAAAAGUUAAUAGUAAAUUCACACAAUAUAGAAAGUUUUUUAAAAAUGUUUUAAUAUGAAAAAUUUAGACUAACUCUAGGUUACAAAAUAUAAACAUUAUAAUAAGAUUAUAAAGUAAAAACAAAAUUAUUAAAAUGGUUAAUACUCGUAAAUAAAUAUAUGAAUAAAAAAUAUAUGUAUACAAAUUAAAAAUAAUGAAUAGAAUAGAAUGAUGAGUAACAUGUUUAGCAAAAUUUAAAUUAGGGGCAGUCUUUUUUAAAUUUAUUUCAGAAAUGUGUUCUUUAUAUCUUAUUUUAAAAUUUCUAUUUGUCUUAUCUAUACAAAAUUUCUUACCGUUACAUUAAAGUUUAUAUUUACCAGAAUUUUCAAAAAAAGGGCUAUAUAAAUAAAUAGCUAAAUAGCUAUAUUAUUUUGUACAUUUUUUAUACUUAAUAUUUUAAUAUUUCAUACAAAAAUAGUUAACAACAUUAUUUGGUUGAUAGUUGUAUUAUUUUUUCUUCAAUACAUUUAUGAAUUUUUUAAUUGUAUUUAAAUUUCAAUUAUUUCUAUGGGCUAUAAUAUAGAUAUAUUUUGAGCUCGUGUUGAUAAUUAUGUUUAUUAAAUGAAAUACGUUUAAGCCUAUAAAAAAUUGAAUUAAAAAAUUAUAUUUUUUUGAGAAUAAGGGUGAUUAGAAUCAUAUGGUGUUAUAGCAUCAGUUUCUGUAGGUUUUCUGUAAAUACUAAAAUCCAAGGUUGGGCAUUAUCAUAUUAAAAGUUAAAAUUAAGUUAAAACAUUAAGUUAAUUUUCAUCCAAAGAAUAAUACAAAUUAUUGAAUGAGGUUUUUAAUAUACUUAUAAUUUACUAUUUUAAUAUGAAUUUCCUGUAGACGAAAAUAAUAUGAAAUUUAACUUUAAUAGUCAUAAUAUGGGCUAUAUAAUAUCUACCUACAUGUUUAUCAUUAUCAAUUGUAUUACUAAUAUUUUCAAAGGUAUGUAAUAAAGAUUAUUGCUUUGAUGAGUUCCCUUAAGUGAAUAUCAAAUGUUGUGAACGUUUUUCCAUUAUUAAUGUGUGUUUGCUAAAUGUCAAUCUACUUUCAAUAAGCAGAAUCAAUCGACACAGUGUGCUGAUAAAAUUAAAGAAAUUCUGUGAAGAUAUCUCAUAACACCAAAUACUACCAGGCAAGUUAAUAUUAUUUAAAUUUUAAUACUUUAAAAUUGAAUAUCAUGUAUUAUGACUUAUAAGUGUUCUCCUUUCUCAGAUCAAAGAGAGUCUUCAUUUUUAAUUGAAUACUGCAAGGUAAUAUAUUAUUAAUUAUAAGAAUGAUAGGUAUAAUGAAAGAAAUAUAAUAGUUUUAUAAUAAAUUUACUAAAGAAAAAAUUGAAAUUAAUUUGUCACUACUCUGGGUAGAAGGAAUUGAGAAGGAAAUUAAAUUUUUUUUCAACGGGAUGUAUGAUACUUAUUAUUUUGUUAUCUUAGGUGAUGAAACCAAUUACAACAGGGCUAGAUGUUUUACAAGGUGAACAAUAUGUGUGUAUUGGAUAUCUAUUACCAACAAUUACAGCUAUAAACAAAGCAUUAAAUAAAUUUAAUAAUUUAAAUUUCUGUAGACUAUUGGUCCAUGCUUUAAAAAAUUGACUAACCAAAAGGUACUUUUAUAAAUUUGUUUAAUUUUUAUAAUAAUCAUUAGGAUUCAAUUAAAAAAUGAUAUAUGUACACCAAUGCUAUUCAUAAAAAUUAAAACUUAUUUAUUUAGUUAAAAUGGUACAAAAACGUUUUACAGAACUAUUUCAUAAAUAGCGUUUAUAAUUUAUAAAUUUAUAAAUAAUAAUGCACUUGUAAUACUUAAGUUAAAACUGAUUAUAUCAUUAUAUGUUACAUGGUACAUUAAUUAUAUGUUAUAUUUUCAGGUUUAAAAAUUGCAUGCAGUCAAAAACACUACAAGUUUCUUCCUAAUUGGUACCAAAGUUUAAAUUAAUUUGAACUAACCCAGAAGACAGAAACAUCAUAAAACAACAUGUUAUUGAUCAAAACAAAAAUUUUUUUUCUCUAAGUUCUUCAAAUCUAAAAGCUAUACCAUCAUCUGCACCUGUCGAGAGAUUGUUUAUUGUUGGUGGUCAAUUAUUUGAUAAAAUGAGAGGAUCCAUUUCUGAUCAAAAUUUUGAAAUGUCUCUUUUGCUA